GGUAUGGAGAAUGGCGACGAUUAGAAGGGUAGGAGAGGAAGGGAUGAAGAAAUUCAUGUGUUUUGGAUGAAAAUCUUCAUCAAGCAAUGAUACAAUUCCAUUCUUGGCACCAUUUCCUCCAUUGUUAUACGGGUCUCUCAUGUGAGGUGCAGGACGGCCGAAGAUCGAGUCAAAGCGUGGAUUAUAUAGUAGGGGGUCACGCAGUCCUUAUACGUAUUAUAUUGAACAUAAAUAGCAAAAGUGAAGAAUGUAAUACUCAUAAAUGAAUUGUUUAAAUGGUUACCAAGUAUUAGAAAACAUUUAUAAAGUAAGAAAUUUUUCGAUUCA